AACGAACGCUGGCGGCAGGCCUAACACAUGCAAGUCGAACGCCGUAGCAAUACGUCAGUGGCAGACGGGUGAGUAACGCGUGGGAACGUACCUUUUGGUUCGGAACAACCCAGGGAAACUUGGGCUAAUACCGGAUAAGCCCUUACGGGGAAAGAUUUAUCGCCGAAAGAUCGGCCCGCGUCUGAUUAGCUAGUUGGUGUGGUAACGGCGCACCAAGGCGACGAUCAGUAGCUGGUCUGAGAGGAUGAUCAGCCACAUUGGGACUGAGACACGGCCCAAACUCCUACGGGAGGCAGCAGUGGGGAAUAUUGGACAAUGGGCGCAAGCCUGAUCCAGCCAUGCCGCGUGAGUGAUGAAGGCCCUAGGGUUGUAAAGCUCUUUUACCCGGGAAGAUAAUGACUGUACCGGGAGAAUAAGCCCCGGCUAACUUCGUGCCAGCCGCCGCAGUAAC
rnacentral:rRNA from 1 species